AGCUUUGCGCAGAGGCAAUAUCGUAGCCAAUGAGGUUUAUCCGAGGCGCGAUUUUUGCUAGUUGAAAACUUUACCCAAUACCCCGCCACAGACGACUUGAAAUAUAGUCGGCUAUGGCAAUUUUUGCAAGUCUCUCAGGAGA
ensembl:snRNA U4 U4 spliceosomal RNA